rnacentral:misc_RNA from 1 species
UUAAGUUGUCAUUCGACUUUUAGUUCAGACUGCAAUCAAGCUUCUUUCCGCAGAGUAGUUUCGCUGGAGCUGCCGGCAGACUGACCCAUCCCGCCGCCGGAGCGGAAGGAGGAGCUGCCGAAGCAACCGGGGCGUUUCACAAGGGGUUUCACGCUGACCGCGGGACGAGCCGCGCGGCAGGUGCGGGAGCAGGGCUCCCGGUAUUUGGUAAUGAUCCUUCCGCAGGUUCACCUACGGAAA